AUCACUUCUCGGCCUUUUGGCUAAGAUCAAGUGUAGUAUGCUGAGCCAUUAUGAAUUCAUUUGAUUAGAGAUUUUACCCAUUUCUAGAAAUGUCUGCAUUUUUGGGGGGAAACUGUUUGGGGAAAGAUCUAGUUAUAAAUGGUCGAGUCCUA
ensembl:snRNA U2 U2 spliceosomal RNA